AUGCCAUGGUCCGAGAACCCCAUUCCUUUCCCGCCUCUCCCUAGCUCCAGGAAGGUAGGAAGAACAGGUGGGAGAUUCAGGGCCGCGGAAGGAGGACAUUCGGGGAAUUCCCAGGAGGUGGAAAGAAGCGACGCUUGGGAGAAGCAGCCCCCAUCCCUUGCAAAAUCCUCCCCAGGUCCUCAGCAUCUUUGCCCGUAUCUGUGCCUUCACAAGAAAAUUCAGAAGGGGAAGUUUUCGACUGCGAGGUGUACAGUUCACCUGCAGUCCCGAGCCCUCCCCGCGGCUCAAAGGAGGCAAAUCGGGAGCCAGCCUCGGGCCAACUUCGUACCUGGGGUCGGGAAGCGGUCCCCGCGGCCAGCGCCUCCCGAUUCUGCGCGCUUCCUCCCGGCACUGGGCAAGGCCUGCCGGUUCCGGGCGGCGCCUUCCCCACGGCGCGCAUGCGCCACUGCCCGCCCUCCCUCGGCUGGGCGUGUCCCGCACGGGCUCCAGACGGGAGGCCAGUCCGCUCGACGGCCUCUGGCUCCUUCUCCCGGGCUUUCGGCUCCGGCUCCGCACCCGGACUGGGGUCUGCUGCCUCCUGCCGGACGGGGCGGGACUGAGAAGCAUCCGCCGAGAGUGGAUCUGGGUGUAGCCGGGAUCCCAGAAGGCGGAGUUUUAACCGACAGUCCUUCAGAGAUUUGAAGAAGGCGGUCACGUAGGAGUUAUCAAGCAGCUCUAGGAGUGUUGCUGGGCUGUGAAUAAUAGCAGUUUCUUAAUAUUAAAGAAAAAAACCCUAAGAAUAUACGGUAAAUCUUGUGAAGAUUUGUUUGCUGAACCUAUUCCUUGUGCAUGAAAGUGCUUCAGGGAAGUAACGUGACUAUCUCACUUAUGAGAAGUCUAAGUUGGUCCCAGGGAGUUGAUAGGAUUGCUGAAGGUUCCCAGGAGAGCUGAUGGCAGGCACUGGAAUGUGGAGUGGGGGAAGUUUGGCUCCAAG
rnacentral:lncRNA from 1 species